rnacentral:lncRNA from 1 species
CGAUAGCGAGGCACUGAGCUUCGACAGUGCCUAUAGUGAAGAUGCCGAAGUUGAGGUCAUUGGUGAGAGGGUCAAGGUCGUGCCCUCAUUCACAGGGGAAGGUUCUGCCAACGGAUAAAGCGGUAUCGUUGGCCAUGGUGCCAUGCGGCUUGGAGUGCGCCAGCACGAGCCAAUAUUCUACAUUCCUAAUGAGGGAUACAUGGGUGCCAAAUCAGCACAACAACGACCAAUCGGAGACCUCCACUUCUGGCCGAAGGGAUGCUGCUGCCAAGUCUU